CAGAUGUGUAUGUCUGGAAAAUAUAGUGCCUUGCUACAUGACAUCCACGCAUUGUUAUUGUGAAGGAGGUGUGCUGCAAGGCUGCAGCUGGCAGCUGUGAGAAAACGCAUCACUUACAGCAGAGACCUUCAGACCUAGGCUAGCGUUGCCAGCAGCUGAAAUUCCUGGAGCUGUAAACACUGUUGAUAUUGUCUAAAGAUAAAAUAAAAUAAAAUAGUUCAGGAAGACCUGACAAAUGUGCUCUUUCCCCUGCAUCAGUGUGGUAGGGAUGGAUACUGUUUUAUACACAUGGCUGGUUGUUCACUAGUAAAGUACCAAUCCAAAAAGGCUGUUUAACAACAGUUAAUUCCACUUAACACGGGCUAGGAAAUCAUGCAGGGAAUUCACCACCAGCCUGGCCACUGGGGGAAAACAACUGGUGUUGCCACCUACAAGGAACUCAAACAGCUCAGCAUCCACCUGCUCCCAACAGGUGGGCACCCAGCAUAUAUUACAGAUUGCAUAGAGAACAGCUGAGGGAUGAUACCCUCCCUUAAAUCAAGCUUGUUUACAUUUACUUGAAUAGUGGCUUACUUAAAUUCUUUACAAAGGAGUAGUCAGAAUUUGAAGAGAAGAUUCUGCUUCAUGGGCUGAUUCUUUACACCCAGCUCUCUCUUGAUUAUUCUUGCAAAAUAGCUGUGAUCCCAUUUUAUACAAGGUUACAAGAAAAGAGUGCAGAGUCAGCUCUCUGGACUGAAGAUUGCACUGGUCAUGCUGGUACCCAAGAAGGCUAUACCACCUCUUCUGCUUUUCCUCCACACGAACAAAUGAUGAAGACAACUUGGGAAGGAGGUGUACAGAUGGAAAGGAUUGCUCUGAAUCCCCAGCAAGCAUGUGUGCCAUGUUCAACUUGAAAUAAGAGAACCCUGCAAUUGGAAAAAGCAGAUAAACAGCAGUACUAAAUACUGAAAGGUAGAUAUCCCUUAAAGCUAACAGAAGGAGAAAAAAAAUCAGCAUUUUAAAGUAAA
rnacentral:lncRNA from 1 species